UUAAUACUCCCUCCGUCCGAAAAAGCUUGUCCCAAGCUUGUCCUUUGAAUGGAUAUAUCUAGCACCAAAUUAGUGUUAUAUAGAUCCAUUUGAGGGACAAGCUUUUCUGGACGGAGGGAGUACGAU
rfam:Triticum urartu cultivar G1812 contig664648, whole genome shotgun sequence.